UAGUCCACACCGUAAACGAUGAGAGCUAGUUGUCUGCAGGCAUGCCUGUAGGUGACGCAGCUAACGCAUUAAGCUCUCCGCCUGGGGAGUACGGUCGCAAGAUUAAAACUCAAAGAAAUUGACGGGGGCCCGCACAAGCGGUGGAGCAUGUGGUUUAAUUCGAAGCAACGCGCAGAACCUUACCUACCCUUGACAUGCCGGUCGCGAUUUCCAGAGAUGGAUUUCUUCAAUUCGGUUGGACCGUGCACAGGUGCUGCAUGGCUGUCGUCGGCUCGUGUCGUGAGAUGUUGGGUUAAGUCCCGCAACGAGCGCAACCCUCACUGUUAGUUGCCAGCAUUUAGUUGGGCACUCUAAGGAAACUGCCGGUGAUAAGCCGGAGGAAGGUGGGGAUGACGUCAAGUCCUCAUGGCCCUUACAAGCUGGGCUACACACGUGCUACAAUGGCGAUGACAGUGAGCAGCUAACCCGCGAGGGCAAGCUAAUCUA
rnacentral:rRNA from 1 species